rnacentral:rRNA from 1 species
AGUGAACGCUGGCGGUAGGCCUAACACAUGCAAGUCGAACGGCAGCACAGUAAGAGCUUGCUCUUACGGGUGGCGAGUGGCGGACGGGUGAGGAAUACAGCGGAAUCUACGUUUGCGUGGGGGAUAACGUAGGGAAACUUACGCUAAUACCGCAUACGACCUACGGGUGAAAGCAGGGGAUCUUCGGACCUUGCGCGAUUGAAUGAGCCGAUGUCGGAUUAGCUAGUUGGCGGGGUAAAGGCCCACCAAGGCGACGAUCCGUAGCUGGUCUGAGAGGAUGAUCAGCCACACUGGAACUGAGACACGGUCCAGACUCCUACGGGAGGCAGCAGUGGGGAAUAUUGGACAAUGGGCGCAAGCCUGAUCCAGCCAUACCGCGUGGGUGAAGAAGGCCUUCGGGUUGUAAAGCACUUUUGUUGGGAAAGAAAAGCAGAAGGUUAAUACCCCGCUGUUCUGACGGUACCCAAAGAAUAAGCACCGGCUAACUUCGUG